AUAUAAUCAUAUGCUAUGUAACAUUUUGGAAUUGGCUUUUUUUCAAUGUAGAAUAACUCCCUGGAGAUUCAUCCAAAUUGUGGUAUAGGUUUUUGUUUUUAUUAUCUGAAGUCUAUACAUUUAAAAAAGUUUUUCUAUUGAGUUUGUUUUAUUAUUAAUGAAAAUCUGUAACCAAGGUUAUUGAAAGUAGGUGCCACUUCCUAGCUAGGAGACCUUGUGGAUUACUUCAUAUCUCUGAGACUCCAUCUCCUCACCUUUAGAAUAGGCAUAAAAAUUAGGACUUUAUAUUAUAUUCCCCUUAUUAAUGGAGGCUAAUUACAAAGAUGCAAUACCAUGUCUUCUUUAGUCACAGAGUAACUCCAAGUCCUCAUAUUUCUGCGAUUGGGAUAAACAGCAGGUCUCAUGCACUGUUUUGAGUGAAAAACAUUAGAUUCCAUGAUCUACUUUUUCUGAGACCACCUGUCAUUCAUAUUGUCCUGCAGAAAGGAUCUGAUUGGGUUGGUUUGUCAUUUCCAACAUAGAGAACCUGUAAUGGGCCCACACCAAACUCCUUGAAAGGUGUUUUCCUCUCUGUGGUUCUCUUGCAGAAGCACUAGGAGAAUCUUUACACUUCUCUCUCUGGCCAUCAGUCAGAACAAACUGAAGCCGGAGCUUGCCUUGGAGGUGAUGCCCAUGCGAUAGAGGUGUUCUGGCUGAGGCUGAUGACCACCUAGCAGAUAGGGACUAAAAGCAGAAAAGCAGAGAGUUGAACUCAUCCUCAGUUUAGUUCUCUGUAGACCAAGAACAGAAGUUAUUUUAUCAAACAUAGUAAAAAAUGAAAAGUCCCCGUUGAGUCAGUGCUCUCAGAAGAGGACUCUGGAUUUGACAGGUACCUAGUACUUACUGGACCCGCAUCAAAGACAGCUAUUCCAUAAGGUUGUUAUAAGGAGAAAAUUCAGUGGCCAGGACAACCUUCGGCCAACUCUAAAGCCCUAUAUGAAACACCAGUUAUUUCACCAAGUCACCUGAUGUAACAUGAAUUCAGUCUUCUCUAUGCUUUUUGUGUAUGAGCAACUGUAAAAAGAAAUUUCUGGGGUGUGUUUGUGUGUGUGUGUGUGUGUGUGUGUGUGUGUUAAAUAAGAGUGCCUGGUUUUUCAUAACUAAGACUAAGAAAAUGAAAAGUAUAUACAGUUGUCCUUCAGUAUCUGAGGGAGAUUGGUUCAGGAUUCCCUCAGGUAGCAAAAUCUAUGGAAGCUGAAGUUCCUGAUAAUAAACGGGAUAAUAUUUGCAUUUACCCCAUGCACAUCCUC
rnacentral:lncRNA from 1 species